UAUCAAAUGACACAUUGACAGGUCGAAGAAACUACAAAACACCAAUAAACCUGCUUUGAUUAAACAAAUCAAGAAGUUAAACAGUAAAAGUGGAGAAGCCAUAGCAUGAAAUUUAUAGUGUUUAAAAGAUUGGAUCUUGUAUUUAGCUGUUUUAUCUUCUCCUUUGGUCUGUGUAUAGUUGAAGUUGGCUAAUCAAGCUAAAUAAAGCUGAAAACGUCGCCGUACACGUAACUAUCAGGCCGCAUAUGGUCUAUUUCACUCGUCGCGUGCACUAGCGCGCCUCCUUCCCCUCGGAGAGAAUCUACAGGAAGGCAGCGAGUCCAGGAAACAGCGUUUGAGACCCGGCCCUGUGACCGAGGUUUGGGGCGUCGACCAAACUUCACUUGGACCAAUCGCAGUUCGCGGCGAAACUUUGUAAACAACUCUCACGCGCUGUUUGACGCCUAGUCUUUUGUGUUUACUACGCGGAGAGGCCGCGGCGCUGCGGUCCGGCGGGAAGCGUCGCGACAGGGAUUCAUCAGUGACUCUGGCAGUCCUCCAUGAUUAUGAAAAUCAAACCCUUCUUAGGAGCGAUGCAGCAUCCAAAGGCCUGUCAUCCUGUGGUGGUAUUACACAAGAGCUCACACCAGGCUCCUCCGUGGGCAAGCUGGGAUCAGAUGACUACGAUGAGCAGCGUACGCAUGUGAGCAGUCAAAGCCUAUAUUGUACUGUGCCCACCUUUCCUUGGCAUGAAGUGGCCGUGCCAUUGCAAACAGUGGUGCGAAUGGGAGCCAACGGAAACAACACCAGUCAUCUCUCCUCUAUUCCCCACCCAGGCUGAUAAGAUUAACCACCGGCCUGUGGCUCCCAGCUGUUGAGCACCCAACCGGCUUCAGGCAUGUACGAAACACAGAAACACACCAACACACUCAGUAGAAAGCUGCACCUGAUUUAAACCCAUUUAAACAUGUCGAGGUCCCGGCAACCACACCCUGAAGAUUCAAAAUGGUCGACUUGCUCAGUCUUGGUUUCUUUUUUUUUUUUUCUCAUAACCAUCAAGAGCCGUAGUCUCAUAAAUUCCCUUUACACAUCCAUCAUGCAUAAAAAUUUCAAAUGAAUGAAAAUUAGGGUUUCUAGUUGAGUAAUUUCCUACAGCACCAAUCAUGUAGUAAAUUUCCCCACCUACUUUUUUAUGCUUAAGUUUCAUCGCUAGCAGGAGUUUUUAAUAGUCUGCAGACGAGCCCUUUAUAAAAUUGACGCUGAACUCAAAGGCUUGUGAACAGAACGCGUCUUUUUUAGUGGCGCCGUAGCGGAUGAGGAGGGUGUGCUCUUAAAUGUCCAGAAAGUGAAAACACAAUGUGCAAACUGACGGCAACCAGGACACGAAAGCAUGUACAGUAGCGUAAAGUCAGGUGAAAGAAACCAAAGCAGUGACGCGCUCCGUUUCCUAUAAAUAUGAAGCCGUGGGAAUGCUUCGGCGGUGGUGUUUUCCCUCGGUCCAACUCGCAGUUCACAUAGGUGUGAGUGUAAAGUUUCCACAUCUGAAGUAAAACCUUCUUCUCUGCCUCCGUGUUGUGUGUAUGAUCUGAUUUCUCUGACUUUCUGUGUUUUUUUUCCUGUUUGAUCAUUUUCACGCUUUAACACCCCCCCCCACCCCCGGUGUCGACCUCAUCCACUGGUCUGAGUGAACACAUCCUGGACGUUGCUCUGCUUAACUGGUGUGGUUAACUAGUUCACGGCUGCCACACACAAAAACACAAUGCGCCACUAAAACCUGAACAGUGACGUAAUUUUCAGUUUUAUAUGACACGACAUGCACGUUCUUUCCCUCAACAACCAGUAAUUGAUCGACACAAUCAACGCAUUCCCGCUCUCUAAACAGUGAGUCCAGAACGUGCUCCAUCCCUCGCCUGUGAUGUAAGUGUGACUGAUAGCGGAGCAGCUGUUUCCGGGGGGCCGCGCCGCUGUCUGCCGUUAGCGCUGCCGCUGGCCUGCUGCACCCGUCCCUGUCCAGCUGUCUGCCUCGCUCUGCUGCUCCCUGCUCUGCACGCCGCCACUCAUAGAGGGCGCUAGUCAGGCUGCAGCUGCACAGCUCAAGGGGGGGAAGCUGUCAGCAGAGCCUUUCACAUUCAAAACACAGCAUUUUGAAGUUCCCCUCAUUAUUCCCAGGCUGAUUUUAUGGAGAAAGAAAUCUUAAAAUGAAUGAUAAUGAAUGUGCAGAGAGUCUUCUGCAGUCAUUGUUGCCCGAUGGCUGCUGAGCAUCAUGGGAUGUGUCAACUGCUCCUGCCCCACCUGCAGCUUCCACCCUGAGUCAGAGCGAGAGCUCUCAGCUGUUCCCGGCGCCGCCGCCCGCCGCUUGUGACACCUCGCGCUUCACCUUUUGUUUCACAUCCACCCUGGCAAACGCAGAGAAACAUCCUGUUUGCAGCCCAGCGGAGGAUUUCACUGUGUGAACACAGCUCUGUUGGACACAGUUUGGCAGGCAGUUAGCGGCGCCGCAUACUUGUGCGAGUGUCUUCACUGUCCCACCCUUUUGAUUAUGAGUCACAGCAAUAGCAGUUAACCUAAGUCCAACGGUGACUAACAGUGUGUGUGUGUGUGUGUGUUUUGAAAUGGGUGUGCGACCUGCCUCCAGAUACUUUGCUAGUUAAUGUAUUGUUUCUGGAUCAGGGUUCACCAAAGGCGGCAGGUAGUGUUCCAACAUACUGGCUUCUAUCAAUGAGUGAUGCCGCCUUGCUCUCCUUCGUGUACAGUAAACUGCCCGUAAACGGCGGCGACACAGCUUUCAAAUAAUCUCUCCAUCAUUCCAGACGUGGCAAUUAUCAACCAAUCACAUGGGAGUCAGUCCCCCCCCCGUCAUGUGCGCUCAUUUUGCCCGACAACAGUUAAAGUUUAGUCAGAAGCCUCUGGGAGUGAAGGAGAGCUCUGGUUUGAAGGACCCGUUUCUACUGUAGUUGGAUAAAUAAAAAUACUUACUACGUGUCA
rnacentral:lncRNA from 1 species